CCCUGCCCUUUGUACACACCGCCCGUCGCUCCUACCGAUUGGAUGGUCCGGUGAAAUGUAUGGACCGUAGCAGGAUUGGUGGUCUCCGCCAGACCUGUUGUGGGAAGUUCAUUAAACCUUAUUAUCUA
rnacentral:rRNA from 1 species